ensembl:snoRNA SNORA62 Small nucleolar RNA SNORA62/SNORA6 family
CCUAUGCAUUGUUAGAGCUUGGAAUUGAGGCCACAGCCUGGCCAGUGAACUCAAGUGUAGGGUAGUGUUGUGUUACAUGAGGGGUAAGUCUGGCUAACAUCACAAGGGUCUCUGGCCCAGUGAAUGAGUUUGAUAGUAAUUCUUGCUGCAGGU